rnacentral:rRNA from 1 species
UACAGAGGGUGCAAGCGUUAUUCGGAGUUACUGGGCGUAAAGAGCGCGUAGGCGGUUCGGUAAGUUUGGUGUGAAAUCCCAGGGCUCAAUCCUGGAAGUGCAUCGAAUACUGCCAAACUAGAGUAUAGGAGGGGAGAGUGGAAUUCCUGGUGUAGAGGUGAAAUUCGUAGAUAUCAGGAGGAACAACAGUGGCGAAGGCGACUCUCUGGACUAUUACUGACGCUGAGGCGCGAAAGCGUGGGGAGCAAACAGG